GAACGCUGGCGGCGUGCCUAAUACAUGCAAGUCGAGCGAACGGACGAGAAGCUUGCUUCUCUGAUGUUAGCGGCGGACGGGCGAGUAACACGUGGAUAACCUACCUAUAAGACUGGGAUAACUUCGGGAAACCGGAGCUAAUACCGGAUAAUAUUUUGAACCGCAUGGUUCAAAAGUGAAAGACGGUCUUGCUGUCACUUAUAGAUGGAUCCGCGCUGCAUUAGCUAGUUGGUAAGGUAACGGCUUACCAAGGCAACGAUGCAUAGCCGACCUGAGAGGGUGAUCGGCCACACUGGAACUGAGACACGGUCCAGACUCCUACGGGAGGCAGCAGUAGGGAAUCUUCCGCAAUGGGCGAAAGCCUGACGGAGCAACGCCGCGUGAGUGAUGAAGGUCUUCGGAUCGUAAAACUCUGUUAUUAGGGAAGAACAUAUGUGUAAGUAACUGUGCACAUCUUGACGGUACCUAAUCAGAAAGCCACGGCUAACUACGUG
rnacentral:rRNA from 1 species